GUCUACGGCCAUGCUACCCUGAACAAACCCAAUCCCGUCCAAUCUCAGAAGCUAAGCAGAGUCGGGCCUGGUUAGUACUUGGAUGAGAGACUACCUAGGAAGACCAGGUGCUGUAGGCA
rnacentral:rRNA from 1 species